AUGAACGCUAGCUACAGGCUUAACACAUGCAAGUCGAGGGGCAGCAUGGUCUUAGCUUGCUAAGGCCGAUGGCGACCGGCGCACGGGUGAGUAACACGUAUCCAACCUGCCGUCUACUCUUGGACAGCCUUCUGAAAGGAAGAUUAAUACAAGAUGGCAUCAUGAGUCCGCAUGUUCACAUGAUUAAAGGUAUUCCGGUAGACGAUGGGGAUGCGUUCCAUUAGAUAGUAGGCGGGGUAACGGCCCACCUAGUCUUCGAUGGAUAGGGGUUCUGAGAGGAAGGUCCCCCACAUUGGAACUGAGACACGGUCCAAACUCCUACGGGAGGCAGCAGUGAGGAAUAUUGGUCAAUGGGCGAGAGCCUGAACCAGCCAAGUAGCGUGAAGGAUGACUGCCCUAUGGGUUGUAAACUUCUUUUAUAAAGGAAUAAAGUCGGGUAUGGAUACCCGUUUGCAUGUACUUUAUGAAUAAGGAUCGGCUAACUCCGUGCCAGCAGCCGCGGUAAUACGGAGGAUCCGAGCGUUAUCCGGAUUUAUUGGGUUUAAAGGGAGCGUAGAUGGAUGUUUAAGUCAGUUGUGAAAGUUUGCGGCUCAACCGUAAAAUUGCAGUUGAUACUGGAUAUCUUGAGUGCAGUUGAGGCAGGCGGAAUUCGUGGUGUAGCGGUGAAAUGCUUAGAUAUCACGAAGAACUCUGAUUGCGAAGGCAGCCUGCUAAGCUGCAACUGACAUUGAGGCUCGAAAGUGUGGGUAUCAAACAGGAUUAGAUACCCUGGUAGUCCACACGGUAAACGAUGAAUACUCGCUGUUUGCGAUAUACUGCAAGCGGCCAAGCGAAAGCGUUAAGUAUUCCACCUGGGGAGUACGCCGGCAACGGUGAAACUCAAAGGAAUUGACGGGGGCCCGCACAAGCGGAGGAACAUGUGGUUUAAUUCGAUGAUACGCGAGGAACCUUACCCGGGCUUAAAUUGCAGAUGAAUUACGGUGAAAGCCGUAAGCCGCAAGGCAUCUGUGAAGGUGCUGCAUGGUUGUCGUCAGCUCGUGCCGUGAGGUGUCGGCUUAAGUGCCAUAACGAGCGCAACCCUUGUUGUCAGUUACUAACAGGUUCCGCUGAGGACUCUGACAAGACUGCCAUCGUAAGAUGUGAGGAAGGUGGGGAUGACGUCAAAUCAGCACGGCCCUUACGUCCGGGGCUACACACGUGUUACAAUGGGGGGUACAGAGGGCCGCUACCACGCGAGUGGAUGCCAAUCCCCAAAACCUCUCUCAGUUCGGACUGGAGUCUGCAACCCGACUCCACGAAGCUGGAUUCGCUAGUAAUCGCGCAUCAGCCACGGCGCGGUGAAUACGUUCCCGGGCCUUGUACACACCGCCCGUCAAGCCAUGGGAGCCGGGGGUACCUGAAGUGCGUAACCGCGAGGAGCGCCAUAGGGUAAAACUGGUGACUGGGGCU
rnacentral:rRNA from 1 species